rnacentral:rRNA from 1 species
GACGGGGGGGGCAAGUGUUCUUCGGAAUGACUGGGCGUAAAGGGCACGUAGGCGGUGAAUCGGGUUGAAAGUGAGAGUCGCCAAAAAGUGGCGGAAUGCUCUCGAAACCAAUUCACUUGAGUGAGACAGAGGAGAGUGGAAUUUCGUGUGUAGGGGUGAAAUCCGUAAAUAUACGAAGGAACGCCAAAAGCGAAGGCAGCUCUCUGGGUCCCUACCGACGCUGGGGUGCGAAAGCGUGGGGAGCGAACAGG